rnacentral:rRNA from 1 species
AAGGGAAUUUGACCGGGGGGCCCCGCACCAAGCCGGUGGAGGCAUGUUGGUUUAAUUUCGAAGCAACCGCGAAGAACCCUACCCAGGUCUUGACAUCUUUUGCCAGGCUGAGAGAUCAGCUGUUCCCUUCGGGGACAAAAUGACAGGUGGUGCAUGGUUGUCGUCAGCUCGUGUCGUGAGAUGUUGGGUUAAGUCCCGCAACGAGCGCAACCCUUAUUGUCAGUUGCCAGCAUUUAGUUGGGCACUCUGAUAAGACUGCCGGUGACAAACCGGAGGAAGGUGGGGAUGACGUCAAAUCAUCAUGCCCCUUAUGACCUGGGCUACACACGUGCUACAAUGGGCGGUACAACGAGUCGCGAGACCGCGAGGUCAAGCCAAUCUCUUAAAACCGCUCUCAGUUCGGAUUGCAGGCUGCAACCCGCCUGCAUGAAGUCGGAAUCGCUAGUAAUCGCGGAUCAGCAUGCCGCGGUGAAUACGUUCCCGGGCCUUGUACACACCGCCCGUCACACCAUGAGAGUUUGUAACACCCAAAGCCGGUGGGGUAACCGCAAGGGACCAGCCGUCUAAGGUGGGACAGAUGAUUGGGGUGAAGUCGUAACAAGGUAGCCGUAGGAGAACCUGCGGCUGGAUCACCUCCUUUCUAA